rnacentral:rRNA from 1 species
GAUUGUACCGCGUGGAUAACCUGCCCAGAAGACCGGGAUAACACCGGGAAACCGGUGCUAAAACCGGAUACGCUCUUUGGAGGAAAAAGUGCCUUUAAGGCGCUGCUUUUGGAUGGGUCCGCGUCCCAUUAGCUAGUUGGUGCGGUAACGGCGCACCAAGGCGACGAUGGGUAGCCGGCCUGAGAGGGUGAGCGGCCACACUGGGACUGAGACACGGCCCAGACUCCUACGGGAGGCAGCAGUGGGGAAUCUUCCGCAAUGGGCGAAAGCCUGACGGAGCAAUGCCGCGUGAGCGAAGAAGGCCUUCGGGUCGUAAAGCUCUGUCCAGGGGGAAGAACAAAUGACGGUACCCCUGCAGGAGCCCCGGCUAACUACGUGCCAGCAGCCGCGGUAACACGUAGGGGGCAAGCGUUGUCCGGAAUUACUGGGCGUAAAGCGCGCGUAGGCGGCCUUAAAAGUCAGAGGUGAAAACCGGCAGCUCAACUGCAGGCCUGCCUCUGAAACUUUAAGGCUUGAGGACAGGAGAGGGGAGUGGAAUUCCCAGUGUAGCGGUGAAAUGCGUAGAUAUUGGGAGGAACACCAGUGGCGAAGGCGGCUCCCUGGCCUGUAACUGACGCUGAGGCGCGAAAGCGUGGGGAUCAAACAGGAUUAGAUACCCUGGUAGUCCACGCCGUAAACGAUGGGUGCUAGGUGUUGGGGGUGUAGACUCCUCCAGUGCCGUAGUUAACGCGAUAAGCACCCCGCCUGGGGAGUACGGUCGCAAGACUGAAACUCAAAGGAAUUGACGGGGGCCCGCACAAGCGGUGGAGCAUGUGGUUUAAUUCGACGCAACCCGAAGAACCUUACCAGGGCUUGACAUCCCGUGACAGCCGU